rnacentral:rRNA from 1 species
UACGAAGGGUGCAAGCGUUACUCGGAAUUACUGGGCGUAAAGCGUGCGUAGGUGGUUCGUUAAGUCUGAUGUGAAAGCCCUGGGCUCAACCUGGGAAUGGCAUUGGAAACUGGCGACCUAGAGUGCGGUAGAGGGUAGUGGAAUUCCCGGUGUAGCAGUGAAAUGCGUAGAUAUCUGGAGGAACACCGGUGGCGAAGGCGGCAUCCUGGACCAACACUGACACUGAGGAGCGAAAGCCAGGGGAGCAAACGGG